UACAAAACCUAAUUAAAAUGCUGCUUAUUGCUGUGUGUUCUGCCCAACGCAAAGGUUAAGAAAUAGUUCAUAAUAAUUCAGUGAUAAAAAAUGUCAUAAUUCAUCUGCAGUAAUUCAUGUUAAAAAAGAUGGUCAUUUAGUUAAAAAAACUUAUAUAGUCAGUGUUGGUUAUCUGUAUUUUAUCUUGAAGGUGAAUUCUGAGGUAGCAAUGCAUUGUGGGUAGCGGAAGCAGAGCUUAGUGGAGGAAAAACGUUUGUAGCGAAAAACCUGCCAAUCCAUGCUUAAACUUCACCUCCUGUGUCCUAAAUCUUUAUUUGCACCUUCGAAAGCAAUGGCUUUUCACUCGACCUUGUUCAUUGAGCUUUCAAGCCACAAUUGUAAAGAAUUGUAAGCUGUCAAGAAGACUGUAAUAAAGGAGCAAGACGCUCGGUUCCUGGCUCAUGAAUAUCGAGUUUGGCUUGCUGUUGAUCUGCGUUAACAUACACAGUGUAUCCAACACGUAGUGAUAACAGUACAGUGAAAAGCCAGAUCAGCAGUUGGUGGAAAAUAAAACCUACACCACAGCGAUGGACAACCCGCAUGAGGAGAAGGCAGAAGAAAUGGCUAAAUCUGAAGCUAAAGCCUCAUCUAUAGCUAGCUCCAGAUCCAAACACUCCAGCUCCAGGCACUCAUCCUCCAAGUUAUCCUUGAGGUCCAGCGUAUUGGAAGCAGCCAUCUUUGCACGGGCCUCGGCUGAAGCCACAAACGCUAAAGCCUCCUAUAGUAAGAAACAAUUAGAAAUUAAAAAACAACAGGCAAGUCUAGAACUGGAUUUAAAGAUGCUGGAGAUAGAGAAAAAAGCUGCAGCUGCUACAGCAAAAGCAGAGGUUCUAGAAGCUGCCGCAGCUGCUGAACAAGACAAAGGAGAAAGCGCAAAGAGUGCAGUCCCACCGCAAGUCGUCAGACAGAGAACUAUGGAGUAUGUGCAACACCAAACUGAGCUGAAGUCACAUUCGGCUAAAGGAGAAACACCUCAGGUUGAACCGGCAUCAAACGCACCAUCGUUCAUACCAAGGAGCUCUGGACGAACUCCCUCUCCACCAGUGUUCAAGAAAAUGUAUGUAAAAGAGGAAGCUUUUAACGCACCAAGAGACUGUGACAAACCAAACAGUUGUAAUGCUCCCCACAGCAAUUACCCACCUAUGGUCAACUUUGCUAAAUUUCUUGCACGUAGAGAGUUAAUCACAACGGGGCUUUUCAAGUUUGAUGACACCCCUGAAAACUUUAGAGCAUGGCAGUCAUCAUUCUUAAAUGCAACUGGAGACAUUGAUCUCACAUGUAGCCAGGAGUUGGAUCUCCUAGUGAAGUGGCUCGGUAAAGAGUCCUCAGAGCAUGUUAAAAGAAUCAGAGCUGUCUAUACCACUAACCCCAAGGCAGCCCUCCAGUUGUCAUGGGACAGGUUAGAAGAAUGUUAUGCUUCACCAGAAGUAGUAGAAAAUGCCUUGUUUAAAAGACUAGACAGCUUCCCUCGCCUAACGAAUAGAGAUAACGCAAAACUCAGGGAACUAGGAGAUCUGCUCCUAGAGCUGGAGGUUGCUAAAGAUGAAGCUUAUCUCCCAGGCCUCGCCUACCUUGACACGCCACGUGGUGUUAAGCCCAUAGUGGAAAAGCUGCCUCCAAACCUACAAGAUAAAUGGCUUCACACAGGCUCAAAAUACAAACAAAAAUAUGAAGUGGCAUUCCCUCCCUUCUCAUAUUUUGUUAAGUUUGUCCGAGAGGAGGCAAAAGCGAGAAACGACCCAAGUUUUGCAACAUGCAGCAGCCAACCCUUCAACAAAAAUGAGAGACCACUACUUAGACAAACUAGCUACAAAUCUCCUCUAACUGUAAACAGAACAGAGGUUGCUACAACUGCUCCUGCUAGUACCAAAGAGGAUGAUCUAACACGUUAUUGCCCAGUCCACAGGAAAACGCAUCCUCUAGCCAAAUGUAGAGCCUUCCGGAUCAAACCACUGCAAGAAAGACGAAGCAUACUUAAAGAACACAAACGGUGUUUUCGUUGUUGUUCCCCCAUGCACACAAUAAAAGACUGUGACAUGAAAGUCAAUUGUGAGGAGUGCCAAAGUGAAAAACAUUGCUCUGCCAUGCAUCCUGAUAUGGUUCAGCAACCCCAGGCAGAAAACAAAUCAGAACCAGAGUCUCAGCCCCAAGACAACACGCUACCCGAGGUAACGUCACGGUGCACUAAGAUCUGUGGUGAAGGCUGUCCCCCACGUUCUUGCUCUAAGGUAUGUCUAGUUCGAGUCUUCCCUAAAGGCCAACCAGAACGCGUCGUCAAAAUGUAUGCAAUCCUUGACGAUCAGAGCAAUUGCUCACUGGCCCGUCCUGAAUUCUUUGAGCUAUUUGGAAUCAAGGGAAGCCAUCUGACGUACCAUAUGAGAACGUGCGCCGGUCUAACUCAAAUGCUCGGUAGGAAAGCAGUGGGGUUCCAAAUUGAACCAGUAGGUGAAGGCCCAAGUCUAGACCUCCCUCCUCUCAUUGAAUGUGAUGAGAUAGUGUUUAAUAGAGAUGAAAUACCAACGCCUGAAGUAGCUCUUGCCCACCCUCACUUGAAACAUCUGGCUCCUCUCAUACCUGAGUAUGAUCCUGACGCCCAGAUAGCGGUUUUACUGGGCAGAGACAUCAUACAAGUCCACAAGGCAAGAAAGCAAAUAAACGGACCCCCCAGCGCUCCCUUCGCACAGCGUCUGGACCUGGGUUGGGUAAUUGUAGGGGAAGUAUGCCUCAACGCUCAUAAGCCAACUGUCAAUGUCUACAAAACGCACAUACUCUCCAACGGACGUCCAUCUCUCUUCCCUCCUUGUCCUAACAGCAUCAACGUCAAAGAAAAACCAUGCUACGGCGGGGAGCACAAGAAUAGCGUCUUGAAGCAUAGCUCGAAACCUGAUGUAGCAGAAGAAAAGCUCGGAGAGAAAGUUUUUGAGCGCACAGAUGAUGAUAACCAGCGUGCCCUGUCUUUCGAGGAUGAGACCUUUCUAAGGAUAAUGGAAAAGGAAGUUCACCAGGAUGAAAGUAAUAACUGGAUUGCUCCUUUACCGUUCAAGUCCCCGCGCUUGCCACUCCCAAAUAACCGAGACCAAGCACUGUCUAGACUCAAUUCAUUGAGACGCAACUUGAUCAAUAAACCUCAAGUGAAAGAACAGUUCUCAGAGUUUAUGGACAAGCUGUUUGAGAACAAUCACGCAGAGAUCGCUCCACCCAUUGUCGACAAUACUGAGUGCUGGUACCUGCCCAUUUUCGGAGUAUAUCAUCCCCAGAAGCCCGGUCAGAUACGGGUAGUUUUUGAUUCCAGUGCAGGGCAAUGUGGUGUGUCACUCAACUCGGUACUGUUAACGGGCCCAGAUCUCAAUAAUACCCUCCUCGGUGUGCUGAUCCGGUUUAGGAAAGAGCUAAUUGCAGCUACUGCUGACAUCCAGCAAAUGUUUUACGGAUUCCUAGUCAGACCAGACCACAGAGAUUAUCUGAGGUUCCUGUGGCAUAAGGACAACGACUUGUCAAAAGAGGUGCAGGAGUACCGCAUGCGGGUGCAUGUUUUUGGCAACAGUCCGUCACCAGCGGUAGCCAUCUAUUGCCUACGAAGAGCCAUCCGGAAAGGCGAGACAAAGUUUGGAGCAGACACAACGCACUUUGUCGAGAGACAUUUUUAUGUGGACGACGGGUUGAUUUCGCUUCCCACUGAGUCUGCAGCCAUCGAUCUGCUCAAACGCACAUGUGCAUCCUUAGCUGAGUCCAAUCUUAAGCUCCACAAAAUCGCCUCAAACAGUGUCUCAGUCAUGCAAGCCUUCAAUCCAGAAGAUCUGGCCUCUGGCAUCAAAGAAUUGAGUCUCGGUGAUGAUGCUUUACCGGAUCAGAGAAGUCUAGGGAUGUGCUGGGACAUAAACACUGACUCAUUUACAUUCAAGGUAGCUGUUAAUGACAAACCCCACACCCGCCGCGGGGUCCUCUCGGUGAUUAACAGUAUCUUUGACCCCUUGGGACUAGCAUCUCCAGUGACAAUCAAAGGCAGACUUUUGUUACGCAAAAUGUCAAUUGGAGUUCAAGACUGGGAUGCUCCUCUCCCUCAAGACAAAAUGGACACAUGGGAGAUAUGGAAAAUGUCCCUCCAAGAUCUGAGCAGCCUCAGAGUGCCGCGCUGCUACGUACCAGCCGCCCUUUCCAAGUCCACCUACACUGAAUUGUGUGUUUUUUGUGACGCAUCAAGUUGGGCUAUAGCAGCAGUGGCAUACUUGAAAACAGUCAAUGCAGAGGGUCGAUGCGAAGUUGGCUUUGUGCUCGGAAAGGCAAAACUUUCACCACAGCCAGAACCUACAAUACCUCGCCUUGAACUCUGUGGGGCAGUUCUAGGAGUGGAGAUGGCGGAGCUCAUUCUGGAAGAACUUGAUCACAAACCAAACGCUGUCAAGUUCUACUGCGACAGCAGAGUGGUUCUUGGGUAUGUUUGCAAUGAUUCGAAACGCUUUUAUGUCUACGUACAUAAUCGAGUUCACCGAAUACGCCAGUCUACAUCCCCUGAACAGUGGCAUUAUGUCACAUCAGAGCAAAACCCAGCCGAUCUAGCUACCCGGUCAGUACCUGCAUCCCAGCUCAUGGACACCAUGUGGUUUAAGGGACCAGACUUCCUUUACAAACUACCUGAACCGGACACGCAUGAAUCAUUCAAGUUGAUCGAACCUGAAAUGGACGCUGAAAUCCGACAAGUUGCUACUUUCGCUACACAGGUUAAGCGGGGCAGACUCACGACAGAACGCUUCCAACGCUUCUCAAACUGGAACUCACUGGUACGCGCCAUUGCCUUCUUAAUUCACCAAGCUCGUUCUCACUCAUCAAGCAACUUUUCCAACCAUCCAUGCAGAGGCUGGCAUGGAUGCAGAAUUCCACACACUCCAGAGGAGCUGGAUGCUGCCAGCAAUAUCAUUCUCCAGUCCGUUCAGAAGGAUGCCUUUCUUGAUGAAUAUGCUGCUCUCCAAGCCAAUGAAACCGUCCACAGCUCAAGCUCCAUUGUGACUCUCGAUCCCUGUAUAGAUGGAGGCCUCAUCAAAGUUGGGGGUCGCCUCAAACAUGCUUCACUGGACACAGCAUCUAAGAAUCCAAUCAUCCUACCAGGCAACCAUCACGUGUCAAAGUUGCUUGUCCUUCACUAUCACGCUAAGGUUGUGCAUCAAGGAAGGCAGUUCACAGAAAGUGCAGUUAGGCAAGCCGGAUUGUGGAUUGUAGGAUGCAAAAGGCUGGUCUCAUCUAUUAUCCACCACUGUGUAACGUGCAAGAAACUCAGAGGAAAACUAGAGACUCAAAAGAUGUCAGAUCUCCCGCCUGAGAGACUCAACACAUGUCCUCCAUUUUCGUAUGUCGGGUUGGACGUGUUCGGCCCAUGGUCAGUGGUCACUCGACGCACGAGAGGUGGCGCAGCACAAAGCAAGAGGUGGGCAAUACUUUUUACGUGUAUGACCACAAGAGGUGUACACAUUGAAGUCAUUGAAUCUAUGGAUGCUUGCAGCACCAUAAAUGCAAUACGCAGAUUCUUUGCGAUACGAGGUCUGGCAAAACAAAUGCGAUCAGAUAGGGGCACCAACUUCAUCGCAGCAAGCGUGGAGCUUGGUAUGACACAACCAAUCAAGAACCCUCCCAACAUUGUCAACUAUCUCCACGCCAAUGGUUGUACAUGGGAGUUUAAUCCUCCACAUGCCUCCCACAUGGGGGGUAUCUGGGAAAGGAUGAUUGGGGUAACUCGCAGAAUAUUGGAUUCUAUGCUCUUGCUCAACAAACACACCCGUCUAACACACGAAGUGCUUUGUACCCUGAUGGCUGAGGUAUCAUCAAUUAUCAAUGCAAGGCCCUUGGUUCCGAUCUCAACAGAUCCUUCCUCACCAUUCCUACUGUGCCCUGCAAUGAUGUUGACCCAGAAGCAGCACGUUCCUUCUCCACCGGGAGAUUUUUGUGGAAAAGACGUGUUCAAAAACCAGUGGAAACAGGUGCAGGCACUCUCCAAUGAGUUCUGGAGUCGCUGGAAGAACGAAUAUCUCAACACCCUCCAAUCAAGGCGCAAGUGGCAUAGAACACACCGCAAUCUUCAGCCAGGUGACAUUGUGCUGUUGAAAAAUAAUCAAGCACCCAGAAACGAAUGGACAAUGGCCAUCGUCACAACCACUUUUCCAAGCAGCGACGGGAAAGUCAGAAAGGUGGAAGUGAGGACAUCAUCCCAGGGUGUCUCAAAGACUUAUUUGCGCCCCAUCUCAGAUGUUGUUGUGCUCUUAAAGAAUGAAGAGACUGAUAAAAAGUAGUGGCAUCAGUAAUGCCAGGCGGGGAGUGUUCUGCCCAACGCAAAGGUUAAGAAAUAGUUCAUAAUAAUUCAGUGAUAAAAAAUGUCAUAAUUCAUCUGCAGUAAUUCAUGUUAAAAAAGAUGGUCAUUUAGUUAAAAAAAACUUAUAUAGUCAGUGUUGGUUAUCUGUAUUUUAUCUUGAAGGUGAAUUCUGAGGUAGCAAUGCAUUGUGGGUAGCGGAAGCAGAGCUUAGUGGAGGAAAAACGUUUGUAGCGAAAAACCUGCCAAUCCAUGCUUAAACUUCACCUCCUGUGUCCUAAAUCUUUAUUUGCACCUUCGAAAGCAAUGGCUUUUCACUCGACCUUGUUCAUUGAGCUUUCAAGCCACAAUUGUAAAGAAUUGUAAGCUGUCAAGAAGACUGUAAUAAAGGAGCAAGACGCUCGGUUCCUGGCUCAUGAAUAUCGAGUUUGGCUUGCUGUUGAUCUGCGUUAACAUACACAGUGUAUCCAACACGUAGUGAUAACAGUACACUGUGCAUUGUCUUG